rnacentral:rRNA from 1 species
UACGUAGGUGGCAAGCGUUGUCCGGAUUUACUGGGCGUAAAGAGCGCGCAGGCGGUCGUUCAAGUCGCGUGUGAAAGCCCCCCGGCUCAACUGGGGAGGGUCACGCGAUACUGAUUGACUCGAAGGCAGGAGAGGGUAGUGGAAUUCCCCGGUGUAGUGGUGAAAUGCGUAGAUAUCGGGGAGGAACACCAGUGGCGAAGGCGGCAUCCUGGACCGACACUGACACUGAGGAGCGAAAGCCAGGGGAGCAAACGGG